GGUGGGCUGGCUGAGCGGUCGAAAGCGGCGGUCUUGAAAACCGUUGAGGAGUGAUCCUCCGUAGGUUCGAAUCCUACGCCCACCGCCA
rnacentral:tRNA from 1 species